rnacentral:rRNA from 1 species
CGGGGUGAGUAACACGUGGGUAACCUGCCCGGAAGUGGGGAAUACCUCGGGGAAACUCGAGCUAAUACCGCAUGACAUCUUCGGGACGAAAGUCCUGACGAUCAAAGCGGGGUCGCAAGAUCUCGCGCUACCGGAUGGGCCCGCGCCCGAUUAGCUAGUUGGUGAGGUAACGGCUCACCAAGGCUUCGAUCGGUAACCGGCCUGAGAGGGCGAUCGGUCACACCGGAACUGAGACACGGUCCGG